GACAGAGGUGCCAAGCGUUAGGCGGAAUCACUGGGCUUAAAGCGUGUGUAGGCGGGUGCCUAAGUACUUUGUGAAAUCCCACGGCUCAACCGUGGAACUGCUUGGUAUACUGGGUAUCUUGAGCCAGCUAGGGGCUACCGGAACAAAUGGUGGAGCGGUGAAAUGCGUAGAUAUCAUUUGGAACGCCAAUGGUGAAAACAGGUAGCUGGGGCUGUGCUGACGCUGAGACACGAAAGCCAGGGGAGCGAACGGG
rnacentral:rRNA from 1 species